GGCGAGAGACCGAUAGCGAACAAGUACCGUGAGGGAAAGAUGAAAAGAACUUUGAAAAGAGAGUUAAACAGUACGUGAAAUUGUUGAAAGGGAAACGAUUAAAGUCAGUCGUACUAACGGGGAAUCAACCUUUUGAGGGUGGACUUGUGGGAUUCGAAGUGCCUUUGUUUUUCACAACCUGCUUUUUUUGGGUGCACUUUCUCGUAUUGUAGGUCAACAUCGGUUUCGACCGUUAUAAAA
rnacentral:rRNA from 1 species